AGCCUCCAGUUAAUGAACCUGUACAGCUACCAGCCGCCGUUGAAGCUAGCGCCGCACAAGGCAAUCGUAAUGGACCAGACAUUGAGCAUUUACGCGAAGAAUUACGUCAAUUACGCCAGUCAGUAGAUGAGGUAUCCCAGGCUUCUGUGGAGAGUUUAAGGAGACGAAUGUUGCUGUAUACAGCUCGUCCACUCAGAUUUCAAUAACUAUGAAGCGUUGGAGAUGUUGGAUUCCCUUCAAAGCACGGCCAAGGAUAAAGCACAGGAGAAAAAAGAUUAUUAUAGAGUGGCAUACCAGACAGCUAGAGAAAAGGUUAACCUGCCAACACCUCAAUUUCAAAUGCUAGUCCGUCGAUUAUUUGGUGACAAAGACCAUAACAAAGUACUCGACAUUGUUGCAAAAGUGGAAAAAACCCUCCGCAAAGAACAGUCACGUCGUCCAACGCCAACAUGGUUCUCUUAUCGCGGUUUCACAGAAACUGCCGAUUGUUGCUUAACUGUUUAUCCAGUUAGUCCAAUGUCCUGUGUGUGCUCAUGCUAACGACUGGGACUUUCGUUAUUGCCAGAAAUGUGGAUAUUCUUGCAAGUCAUUAACACCCGUCUCUAAUUCUAAUCGUGUUUUAAACUGUUUUAAUAGUUCCCAUUUGAACUUCAGAGGCCUUCAUCUAAAUAAUGUAGGCAGCUCAAUUCUUCAGGACAAUUUAAGAGAAUUUGCAAAUAAUAUACCUAAUUGACAUGAUAUUUCCCCGGACAUUUCAGCAAUAACCUCCGAUAAUCAACUAAAUGACUUGUUGAAUGACCCGGCAAUAGUAAAUUGUAAUUCUGAAUCUGCUCUUAGCGAAAUUGCUAAUCUCAAAGGUUUUCGAAUAGCUAGCCUAAAUGUUAAUAGCCUCUUGAAGCAUAUCGAUGAGCUUCGAGUAAUA